rnacentral:sRNA from 1 species
UCGAUGGGUAAGUAUCCUAACGGGCUUUUUAGGCUGUCGACCAAAAUUAUUUAACUUAGAGGAGUACAGUUAAUGGCCCGUAUCGCUGGCAUUAACAUUCCUGA